AUACGGAGGAUCCGAGCGUUAUCCGGAUUUAUUGGGUUUAAAGGGUGCGCAGGCGGCCAUUUAAGUCAGCGGUUAAAUCGUGGGGCUCAACCCCAUUCUGCCGUUGAUACUGGGUGGCUUGAUUGCGGUCGAGGUUGGCGGAAUUCGUUGUGUAGCGGUGAAAUGCAUAGAUAUGACGAAGAACACCGAUUGCGUAGGCAGCUGACCAGACCGCAAAUGACGCUCAUGCACGAAAGUGCGGGGAUCGAACAGGAUUAGAUACCCUGGUAGUCCGCGCAGUAAACGAUGAAUACUUGUUUUCGGCGAUAUAAUGUCGGAGGCAAAGCGAAAGCGAUAAGUAUUCCACCUGGGGAGUACGCCGGCAACGGUGAAACUCAAAUGAAUUGACGGGG
rnacentral:rRNA from 1 species